GCCCAUGUAGCUCAAUGGCAGAGCAAGGCAUUCGUAAUGCCUAGGUUGUCAGUUCAAAUCUGACCAUGGGCU
rnacentral:tRNA from 1 species